AACGAACGCUGGCGGCAUGCCUAACACAUGCAAGUCGAACGAGACCUUCGGGUCUAGUGGCGCACGGGUGCGUAACGCGUGGGAACCUGCCCUUAGGUUCGGAAUAACCCCCCGAAAGGGGUGCUAAUAACGGAUAAGGUUUUCGGAGCAAAGAUUUAUCGCCUUUGGAUGGGCCCGCGUUUGUUUAGCUAGUUGGUAGGGUAAAAGCCUACCAAGGCGACGAUCCAUAGCUGGUCUGAGAGGAUGAUCAGCCACACUGGGACUGAGACACGGCCCAGACUCCUACGGGAGGCAGCAGUGGGGAAUAUUGGACAAUGGGCGAAAGCCUGAUCCAGCAAUGCCGCGUGAGUGAUGAAGGCCUUGGGGUUGUAAAGCUCUUUUACCCGGGAUGAUAAUGACAGUACCGGGAGAAUAAGCUCCGGCUAACUCCGUG
rnacentral:rRNA from 1 species